AGCCACACAAUAUAUGACACUCCCACCUGCAACUCUUUAUCUCUGUGACUACACUGACAGUUUUCUGACUUUCUGAACAUGGACAACAUCAAACACGCUCUCAUCAGCUUGGUACUAUUUCUGCUCUGCAUAAAAGGUCUUAUUGAUGGGAGUGAUGUCACCCAGACUGACAUACUGUGGAAAAAACAGGGGGAGAACGCAACGAUGAAUUGCAACCACACCAAGGGUUCUGGCUACUUCCAGAUGUACUGGUACAGACAGCUACCAGGAGAAACAAUGAAACUAAUUGUGUUCACAAGACUCGGCAACAACGAUCAUGAUUUUGGAGAUUUCACUAAAGAGAAAUUCUCAGCCACCAAGCCUGAUGCUAUGAGUGGGACAUUCACAGUGAAGAAUCUGGAGCCAGAAGAUAAAGGCUUGUAUUUCUGUGCUGCGAGUCAACACAGUGAUAGAGACACAUUCAACAGAUGA